rnacentral:rRNA from 1 species
GAUGAACGCUGGCGGCGUGCCUAAUACAUGCAAGUCGAGCGAACGGACGAGAAGAUUGCUUCUCUGAUGUUAGAGGCGGUCGGGUGAGUACCACGUGGAUAACAUAACUAUAAGAAUGGGAUAACUUCGGGAAACCGGCGCUAAUAACCGAUGAUAUUUUGAACAGCAUGGUUCCAAAGUGAAAGAUGGUCUUGCUGUCACUUAUAGAUGGAUCCGCGCUGCAUUAGCUAGUUGGUAAGGUAACAGCUUACCAAGGCAACGAUGCAUAGCCGACCUGAGAGGGUGAUCGGCCACACUGGAACUGAGACUCAGUCCAGACUCCGACGGGAGGCAGCAGUAGGGAAUCCUCCGCGAUGGAGGAGAGCCUGACGGAGCAACGCCGCGUAAGUGAUGAAGGUCUUCGGAUCGGAAAGCUCUGUUAGUAGUGAAGAACAUAUGUGUAAGUAACUGUGCACAUCUUGACGGUACCUAAUGAGAAAGCCACGGCUAACUACGUG